rnacentral:rRNA from 1 species
UACGGAGGGUGCGAGCGUUGUCCGGAAUCACUGGGCGUAAAGGGCGCGUAGGCGGUUUGGCAAGUUUGGUGUGAAAUCUUCGGGCUCAACUCGAAGUCUGCAUCGAAAACUGCCGGGCUUGAGUAUGGGAGAGGUGAGUGGAAUUUCCGGUGUAGCGGUGAAAUGCGUAGAUAUCGGAAGGAACACCUGUGGCGAAAGCGGCUCACUGGACCAUAACUGACGCUGAGGCGCGAAAGCUAGGGGAGCAAACAGG